UCUAUAAAUAGCUACCAAAUGUUGAGUGUUAGCAUCAUGCUAAGGAUGGUUCAUAGAUAUUUGCAUUGAAUCCCUGCAAUUACUGUCUGAAAUGGAAAUAACUUGCUAUCUUACUUCAAGCUCCUGCUUUGACUACCACACUCUACUGCUUCCAACAAAGGGUUUUUUGUGUGUUUUUUUUUUUUUUUUUUCCCCAAGGAACCAUUGUUUGGGGGCAUAGCCUCUAGUUCAGAGGGAUACUUAGAAACGGAAAAUGUUUCCUUUACUUGUCAAAGAAGUUGUUGGGAAAUCUAUAGGCCAGGGUAAAGGAAGUACAUGGCUCAUUAGCAGCAGAAGAAAUACAGAUUAAGCCAGUUGGUCUUAUUACAUUUCUAUAAUAGGGGUAGAGCAGGCCACGCAGUCAUUAUCUGGACACGCUUAGCACUGUUCUCGCGAGACCCUGAGCACUGUUCUCGCGAGACCCUGAGCUCUGAGGUUUGAGGAUCAGCUCUACUAACAGUCAGCUUCACUGUGGUCCUCGUGGCAGAGAGUGUAGUGUGAGGUGGAUUGCAGCCUUCUCCUGAAGCCCUCCAGGCCUAGAGGCCAGCAGAAUCUUUAAGGUUACAAGAAUCAUGCACUAGAGGCUAUUUCUCCUUGUUUCAGAAAGAUGAGGAACUUGAUCAGAAGAGUGAGAGGUUCACUCUGGAAUUCUCUCAUGGGACUCUUCAAUUAAGUUGUUGUGACAUUUAAUACAACCCUCAUGAUUUAUGAGAAGUCAGAGAAUCCUGGGCAUGACAAGCAAUGAUCUAGGCUUUGAAGUAGAGAUACCAAGGGAAAACUUCAUGCAAAGAUGAGCACAACAAAGGACAGAAAUGGUAUGGACCUAACAGAAGCAGAAGAUAAGAAGAGGUGGCAAGAAUACACAAAAGAACUGUACAAAGAAGAUCAUGAUAACCAUGAUAACCACACCAGAUAACCACAAUGGUGUGAUCACUCACACAGAACCAGACAUCCUGGAAUGUGAAGUCAAGUGGGCCUUAGAAAGCAUCACUACUAACAAAGCUAAAGGAGGUGAUGGAAUUCCAGUUGAGCUAUUCCAAAGCCUGAAAGAUGAUGCUGUGAAAGUGCUGCACUCAGUUUGUCAGCAAAUCUGGAAAACUCAGCAGUGGCCACAGGACUGGAAAAGGUCAGUUUUCAUUCCAAUCCCAAAGAAAGGCAAUGCCAAAGAAUGCUCAAACUACUUCACAAUUGCACUCAUCUCACACACUAGUAAAGUAAUGCUCAAAAUUCUCCAAGCCAGGCUUCAACAGUACAUGAAAUGUGAACUUCCAGAUGUUCAAGCUAGAUUUAGAAAACACAGAGAAACCAGAGAUCAAAUUGACAGCAUCUGCUGGGUCAUCAAAAAAAGCAGGAGAGUUCCGGAAAAACAUCUAUUUCUGCUUUAUUGACUAUGCCAAAGGCUUGGACUGUGUGGAUCACAACAAACUAUGGAAAAUUCUUAAAGAUAUGGGAAUACCAGACCACCUGACCUGCCUCUUGAGAAACCUAUAUGCAGGUCAGGAAGCAACAGUUAGAACUGGACAUGGAACAACAGACUGGUUCCAAAUAGGAAAAGGAGUACAUCAAGGCUGUAUAUUGUUACCCUGCUUAUUUAACUUAUGUGCAUAAUACAUCAUGCAAAAUGGUAGGCUGGAAGAAGCACAAGCUAGAAUCAAGAUUGCUGGGAGAAAUAUCAAUAACCUCAGAUAUGCAGAUGACACCACCCUUAUAGCAGAAAGUGAAGAAGAACUAAAGAGCCUCUUGAUGAAAGUGAAAGAGGAGAGUGAAAAAGUUGGCUUAAAACUCAACCUUCAGAAAACUAAGAUCACAGCAUCCAGUCCCAUCCACUUCAUGGAAAAUAGAUGGGGAAACAGUGGAAACAGUGACAGACUUUGUUUUUUUUUUUUUUUUUUGGCUCUAAAAUCAUGGUGACUGCAGCCAUGAAAUUAAAAGAUGCUUGCUCCUUGGAAGAAAUGCUAUGACCAACCCAGACAGUGUUUUAAAAAGCAGAGACAUUACGUUACCAACAAAGGUCUGUCUAGUCA
ensembl:lncRNA